rnacentral:rRNA from 1 species
CUCUGUGACUCCUACGGGAGGCAGCAGUGGGGAAUAUUGCACAAUGGGGGAAACCCUGAUGCAGCCAUGCCGCGUGUGUGAAGAAGGCCUUCGGGUUGUAAAGCACUUUCAGUAGGGAGGAAGGUAGUGUAGUUAACACCUGCACUAUUUGACGUUACCUACAGAAGAAGCACCGGCUAACUCCGUGCCAGCAGCCGCGGUAAUACGGAGGGUGCGAGCGUUAAUCGGAAUUACUGGGCGUAAAGCGCAUGCAGGCGGCCUGUUAAGUCAGAUGUGAAAGCCCGGGGCUUAACCUCGGAAUUGCAUUUUGAAACUGGCAGGCUAGAGUCUUGUAGAGGGGGUAGAAUUUCAGGUGUAGCGGUGAAAAUGCGUAGAGAUCUGAAGGAAUACCAGUGGCGAAGGCGGCCCCCCUGGACAAAGACUGACGCUCAGAUGCGAAAGCGUGGGGGAGCAAACAGGAUUAGAUACCCCUGGUAA